GGCGAGUUACGAUUUGAUGCAAGGUUAAGCAGUAAAUGUGGAGCCGUAGCGAAAGCGAGUCUGAAUAGGGCGUUUAGUAUUUGGUCGUAGACCCGAAACCAGGUGAUCUACCCUUGGUCAGGUUGAAGUUCAGGUAACACUGAAUGGAGGACCGAACCGACUUACGUUGAAAAGUGAGCGGAUGAACUGAGGGUAGCGGAGAAAUUCCAAUCGAACCUGGAGAUAGCUGGUUCUCUCCGAAAUAGCUUUAGGGCUAGCCUCAAGUGAUGAUUAUUGGAGGUAGAGCACUGUUUGGACGAGGGGCCCCUCUCGGGUUACCGAAUUCAGACAAACUCCGAAUGCCAAUUAAUUUAACUUGGGAGUCAGAACAUGGGUGAUAAGGUCCGUGUUCGAAAGGGAAACAGCCCAGACCACCAGCUAAGGUCCCAAAAUAUAUGUUAAGUGGAAAAGGAUGUGGCGUUGCCCAGACAACUAGGAUGUUGGCUUAGAAGCAGCCAUCAUUUAAAGAGUGCGUAAUAGCUCACUAGUCGAGUGACACUGCGCCGAAAAUGUACCGGGGCUAAACAUAUUACCGAAGCUGUGGAUUGUCCUUUGGACAAUGGUAGGAGAGCGUUCUAAGGGCGUUGAAGCAUGAUCGUAAGGACAUGUGGAGCGCUUAGAAGUGAGAAUGCCGGUGUGAGUAGCGAAAGACGGGUGAGAAUCCCGUCCACCGAUUGACUAAGGUUUCCAGAGGAAGGCUCGUCCGCUCUGGGUUA
rnacentral:rRNA from 1 species